AGGCACUUUUUGAACCUGAAUGGCCUUUUCCUUGGCCGUUCACACAGGUCAAAACUAGUGCAAAAUUACACAACGUCUUGUUAUAACUGGGGUUUCUUGGCUUUUUCACCAAGUCUCUCUUUUAAGGCAAGACACAGAA
rnacentral:snoRNA from 1 species